AUUAAAAUACGCAACCAACCGUCAUUGAACCGUCCAAUCAGAUCAAAGGAGUAAUCGUUGUAGAUCGUGCGUUAUCGAUGAUGUUCGUUCGUUUAAUUUAAUAAUUACUAAAACCAGUAGUUCGAAAGAUAUAUUUAAAAAUAAAAGAUAAAAAUCCAAAAAAUUAAUUAUCUAUUAACGUGGAUUUGGACGACAAUAGGUUUUUAGUUUGUGAUGUUUCAUGUGAUGAUCAUUUUCAUGUUCAUCGUCUUUGAAUUGACAUGAGGAUAUCUAUGGAAAAGUAACUAAUCUGAAAGUAAGCCAACAUAUCGUUUGUCCUUUGUGUGCUAAAGAAAAGAUUUUCUUUUCGCAUCGUGAGGAAGUAUUACAUCAAUUAAAAAAUGUUAGGAAGUUGAUUACUUGUCAUGGAAAAGUAUACCAAUGGAAAUUAUUUGUUAAAGAAGUAUAAUUCUAAGGGUUUUAAGAAUAAAUUGGUUGAACCCAAAAUCUGGAGGAAGUACCUAUAUCCAUACACAGAAUAUGCCCAUUAAGAAUACUAGUCCAAAUUUGCUUUAAUGGAACGAUUAGGGCCCGAUAUAUUUGAAACUCAUGUUGGACAUAGUAUUGAGUUGGGUAGAAUAUUAUUCUACGUUAAGUGAGGAUAUCAGAUACCUAUUAUUGUACUGUAUUUUAAUAUAUACAUUAGAAUUGUUGGUUUUUU